CCUACGGGUGGCAGCAGUGGGGAAUAUUGGACAAUGGGGGGAACCCUGAUCCAGCCAUGCCGCGUGUGUGAAGAAGGCCCUCGGGUUGUAAAGCACUUUCAGUGAGGAAGAACGCCUGGUGGUUAAUACCCAUCAGGAAAGACAUCACUCACAGAAGAAGCACCGGCUAACUCCGUGCCAGCAGCCGCGGUAAUACGGAGGGUGCGAGCGUUAAUCGGAAUUACUGGGCGUAAAGCGCGCGUAGGUGGCUUGAUAAGCCGGUUGUGAAAGCCCCGGGCUCAACCUGGGAACGGCAUCCGGAACUGUCAAGCUAGAGUGCAGGAGAGGAAGGUAGAAUUCCCGGUGUAGCGGUGAAAUGCGUAGAGAUCGGCAGGAAUACCAGUGGCGAAGGCGGCCUUCUGGACUGACACUGACACUGAGGUGCGAAAGCGUGGGUAGCAAACAGGAUUAGAUACCCGAGUAGUC
rnacentral:rRNA from 1 species